AAUGAACGCUGGCGGCAGGCCUAACACAUGAAAGUCGAGCGAGCGGCGGACGGGUGAGUAAUGUAUGGGGACUGCCCGAUAGAGGGGGAUAACUACUGGAAACGGUGGCUAAUACCGAACACUAGCGGAUCACCCAUAUGGGAUUAGCUAGUAGGUGGGGUAAAGGCUCACCUAGUCGACGAUCUCUAGCUGGUGUGAGAGGAUGAUAAGCCACACCAGAACUGAGCAACGGCCCAGACUACAAGGGAGGCAGUAGUGGGGAAUAUUGCACAAUUGGCGAACGCCUGAUGUAGCCAUGCCGCGUGUAUGAAGAAGGCCUUAGGGUUGUAAAAUACUUUCAGCGGGGAGGCGUUGCCGGCAGAAGAAGCACCGGCUAACUCCGUGCCAGCAGCCGCGGUAAUAC
rnacentral:rRNA from 1 species